rnacentral:rRNA from 1 species
CCACAAGGGGUGAAGCUUGCGGUUUAAUUGGAGUCAACGCCGGAAAUCUCACCGGGAGCGACAGCAGUUUGAAGGCCAGAUUAAAGGUCUUGCCAGACGAGCUGAGAGGAGGUGCAUGACCGUCGCCAGUUCGUGCCGUGAGGUGUCCUGUUAAGUCAGGCAACGAUCGAGACCCGCGUCCACUGUUGCAACUAGCUUUGUGCUGGGCACACUGUGGAGACCGCCACUGAUAAAGUGGAGGAAGGAGCGGGCCACGGCAGGUCAGUAUGCCCCGAAUCUCCCGGGCCACACGCGAGCUGCAAUGGCAGGUACAAUGGGUUCCGACCUCGAAAGGGGAAGGCAAUCUCGAAAGCCUGCCGUAGUUGGGACCGAGGGCUGCAACCCGCCCUCGUGAACAUGGAAUCCCUAGUAAUCGCGUGUCAUCAUCGCGCGGUGAAUACGUCCCUGCUCCUUGC